rnacentral:sRNA from 1 species
GCCAGGCGUGGUGGCGCAUGCCUGUAAUCCCAGCUAUUUGGGAGGCUGAGACAGGAGAAUCGCUUGAACCCAGGAGGCAGAAGUUGCAGUGAGCCGAGAUUGCACCACUGCACUCCAGCCUGGGCAACAGAGCAAGACUCUGUCUCAA